ensembl:lncRNA
CGCCGCGCUUCGCUGGCAAACGGGGUCCGGGCACCGGGGGGGCUCCGAGGGUCGGGGCUGCUCGGUGAUCCGCCGCCAGCCGCACGGGUUUCCCGAGAUAAUUCCCGGUUUCUGCCGCUGGAGAGCGGCACCGCUGCUGCUGCUGCUGCGUGUUACUGAUGCAACAGGUGCCCACACCUGGUCCCAUGGAUGAAGCCCUUCUAAAAGCAUCUCUGAAUCGCAAGCGUGAAGAAGACCAUAUCUCAUCCUACAAGAGCAUAUGGAGUUCAGCACUAAGGAAGUGAAAUGUGCGCUUUUCACUAUUCACAGAUAGGUGCUUUUUCCUUCCCACACACCGCCUGUGCCCUCAUCAAACACCCACACGGACGCUUUACAAUUUAUCAUCAGCUCACCACUGCAGGUACGAGCGCCUAGAAUCUGCAUGGUCAAGAAGCACACCACUGCAUACUGCUCAUUUUCCAGCUUCUUAACUUUGAAGGGAUGAUUUAUUGCAUUUCAUCAAGUGUCUUUCAGUGUGGAGUCGACAGCUUCUGCUAUUCCUGGUCAACCCUUACGUACUUUGCUGCUCAUUGGGGUUUUUGUUUUUGCUACCUCUAUUAGAUCAAGACUUUCGAUCUAGAGAAGUCAUAUGCUCGUUACUUACUGAAGACAGGUGCUUUCCAUGGGUUCUGGUUGUUGCAACUGAUACGCAUUACUACGUAUACUGUUUGUAAGUUGUAGUCUAAUACUGCCUCAACACCAGAAAUAUUUCACAGAACUACGAAACGUAUCUGAAAAGCUGAGGAGUCAGACUAAUAAGCUAUUGGUUGGCAGUGUUAUUAAUUUGUAUGUUCUGCAAGAAUUGCGCCACCUUACAAUGAGCACAACAUCGUUCUUAGAAGAUUAUGAAUUAUACACCCCUACAGUACAGUUGGCUAAAGAAGGCUGCAGAAAAUACCACAUUCUACACACACACACCUCUGAUAACUAACCAAUGUCCAAAUAGAGCAAACAUCCAAUAGGAUUAGCUUCCUAGAUAUGUCUGUGCCGGAUUUAGCAGUUAAAACAUCAGUAUUUUUCCUCAGAGCUUUGCUCCCACUGUCUCAUUUCCUCCUACCCCUAGCACCUUGUCAACUAUUUCUUUUCUGACCCUGAUGAGGGAGGUUGUCCACAGCAGAAACAGAUAUGCUGCAUUCUUUGUUUUGCCUCUUUGCAGUGAUUCCAGUCCAUCUACCUUCAAUUGAUCCUAAACCUUUAGGACCUCUGGCACUGAAGUAGUGUUAGUUCCUUCAAAGCAGGAGUUAACUUCGGUUAAUAAAGUCUGCUUCCCUGGCAGUACUUCCACACACCAUUUCUAUUCAACUCAUUCAUCCAAGUUUGGGGCACCUCACUGUGGGACCUCCAAGCUCUUGACUGCACAGCACCCUUGAGGCAAGCACAAAGUUAGCUCCCACAGCUUACACUCGUCUGAGCGAGCUCUGCAAUGAGUUGUGCAGCCACUGAAUUUGAAAGAACAUGCACACUCUCAUCCAUCUGCCAGUACCUAAGGAUCAAAACCCAAAGGCCUGGAAGGAACAGAAGGCGGUGAGUAGGAAUGCGUUCUCUUGAUGCAGAGUAUAAGCAAGUGAAGCUGAUUUCCACAUGCCAGAGGGACGCUUGGAAAGUAGACCACUGACUGCAGGACAAGAUGGAGGCACAGUCAAAAUACAAAGGCGUAGAGAAGUCACCACAGGUAGAAUUAGAAUUGUAGAAUGGCUUGGGUUGAAAGGGACCUCAGUGAUCAUCUAGUUCCAGCUUCCUGCCACGGCAAGGGCUUCCAACCCCUAAUUCAGGCACUAGAUCAGACUGCCCAGGGCCAUGAUGGCUGUGGUAGCUGAGAGGAUGAGGCUCUCACGCCAACCCCUCAGCUGGAGAAAGAUGGCACCAGAAUUCACUUUUCUGGCCUCUCUCCCAGCCUUACCAGGCUGUCUGUCCCCAGGUUUCAUGUAGCCCUGCCCACCAAGGGUCUGAGGAGCUGGGUGCUUUGCUCACACCUCCCUGCCUGGUGGUAGAAAUGAGGUGGGGGUGCUGGCCUGGAGCCCUGUGGUGCAGGGAGCAGAGCAGGAAGGCACAUCCAGUGACUGAAGUGGCACAACCUGGAGCUGCCAGGACCAGACUGGAGGAGCAGAGGAAAGGAUGAAGAGGAAGAUCUCUGCCAAGUGGGGACAUGUGCACAGAGAUGCAGUCACACACCAGCUACCAUGCCUAGAGCGUGCAGCGGGUGAUACAGCAGUGGUGUAGGCAUUCAUUAAAAAUAACAAAUUGAGUUUGGUGACACUUUCACAGAACAACCAACCUUAUUCUAUGAAUGAAUCACAGAACCACAGAAUGGUUUGGGUUGGAAGGGACC